CCUACGGGAGGCAGCAGUGAGGAAUAUUGGUCAAUGGACGAGAGUCUGAACCAGCCAAGUAGCGUGAAUGAUGACUGCCCUAUGGGUUGUAAACUUCUUUUAUAUGGGAAUAAAAUGUUCCACGUGUGGGAUUUUGUAUGUACCAUAUGAAUAAGGAUCGGCUAACUCCGUGCCAGCAGCCGCGGUAAUACGGAGGAUCCGAGCGUUAUCCGGAUUUAUUGGGUUUAAAGGGAGCGUAGGUGGAUUGUUAAGUCAGUUGUGAAAGUUUGCGGCUCAACCGUAAAAUUGCAGUUGAAACUGGCAGUCUUGAGUACAGUAGAGGUGGGCGGAAUUCGUGGUGUAGCGGUGAAAUGCUUAGAUAUCACGAAGAACUCCGAUUGCGAAGGCAGUUCACUGGACUGCAACUGACACUGAGGCUCGAAAGUGUGGGUAUCAAACAGGAUUAGAUACCCCUGUAGUC
rnacentral:rRNA from 1 species